ACGAACGCUGGCGGCAUGCCUUAUACAUGCAAGUCGAACGCGAAAGCACUUUCGGGUGUUAGUAGAGUGGCAAACGGGUGAGUAACGCGUGGGAAUAUACCUUCAGGUGCGGAAUAGCCUCGGGAAACUGGGAUUAAUACCGCAUGAUGUCUUCGGACUAAAGAUUUAUCGCCUGAAGAUUAGCCCGCGUCAGAUUAGCUAGUUGGUGGGGUAAUAGCCUACCAAGGCAACGAUCUGUAGCUGGUCUGAGAGGACGAUCAGCCACAUUGGGACUGAGACACGGCCCAAACUCCUACGGGAGGCAGCAGUAGGGAAUAUUGGACAAUGGACGCAAGUCUGAUCCAGCAAUGCCGCGUGAAUGAUGAAGGCCUUAGGGUUGUAAAGUUCUUUAAGUGGGGAAGAUAAUGACGGUACCCACAGAAUAAGCACCGGCUAACUCCGU
rnacentral:rRNA from 1 species